AGUGAACGCUGGCGGUAGGCCUAACACAUGCAAGUCGAACGGCAGCACAGUAAGAGCUUGCUCUUACGGGUGGCGAGUGGCGGACGGGUGAGGAAUACAUCGGAAUCUACUUUUUCGUGGGGGAUAACGUAGGGAAACUUACGAUAAUAUAGCAUACGACCUACGGGUGAAAGCAGGGGAUCUUCGGACCUUGCGUGAUUGAAUGAGCCGAUGUCGGAUUGGCUAGUUGGCGGGGUAAAGGCCCACCAAGGCGACGAUCGGCAGCUGGUCUGAGAGGAUGGUCAGCCACACUGGAACGGAGACACGGUCCAGACUACUACGGGAGGCAGCAGUGGGGAAUAUUGGACAAUGGGGGCAAGCCUGAUCCAGCCAGACCGCGUGGGUGAAGAAGGCCUUCGGUUUGUAAAGCCCUUUUGUUGGGAAAGAAAAGCAGCAGGUUAAUACCCCGCUGUUCUGACGGUACCCAAAGAAUAAGCACCGGCUAACUUCGUG
rnacentral:rRNA from 1 species